rnacentral:rRNA from 1 species
UACGUAGGGGGCAAGCGUUGUCCGGAAUCAUUGGGCGUAAAGCGCGCGUAGGCGGCUAGAUCAGUCUGUUGUAAAAGUCAAAGGCUCAACCUUUGAAAGCCGGUGGAUACUGUCUAGCUAGAGUCCGGAAGAGGCGAGUGGAAUUCCUGGUGUAGCGGUGGAAUGCGCAGAUAUCAGGAGGAACACCAACGGCGAAGGCAGCUCGCUGGGACGGUACUGACGCUAAGGCGCGAAAGCGUGGGGAGCGAACAGG